rnacentral:rRNA from 2 species
GAAUUUUAUAGCCUAAAUUAUUAAAAAAUAGUUAGGGGUAUUUGAUUGGGAGGAUGAUUAAAUUAAUAAAACUUUAAUAAAAAAAAAUAAACUAAAGUUAUAGGAAUUAAAUAAUUGAAUGAUAAUAAUUAUAAAAGAAUUAAUUACCUUAGGGAUAACAGCAUAAUAUUUUUUUAUAGUCCAUAUAAAAAAAAAUGUUUAU